CGCCCUGGAUGUAUAUAGAGGGUGAGAGAUAGAGAUAAAAAAAACUAAAAAAACUAGAAACGGGCAAUAUGAAAUUUUGCAUUUGUGUG
rnacentral:ribozyme from 13 species